GACGAACGCUGGCGGCGUGCUUAACACAUGCAAGUCGAACGAUGAAGCCGGAGCUUGCUCUGGUGAAUUAGUGGCGAACGGGUGAGUAACACGUGAGUAACCUGCCCUUGACUCUGGGAUAACUGCUAGAAAUGGUAGCUAAUACCGGAUACGACCCUCGGAGGCAUCUCCCGGGGGUGGAAAGAAUUUCGGGCAAGGAUGGACUCGCGGCCUAUCAGCUAGUUGGUGGGGUAACGGCGCACCAAGGCGACGACGGGUAGCCGGCCUGAGAGGGUGACAGGCCACAGUGGGACUGAGACAAGGCCCAGACGCCUACGGGAGGCAGCAGUGGGGAAUAUUGCACAAUGGGCGCAAGCCUGAUGCAGCAACGCCGCGUGAGGGAUGACGGCCUUCGGGUUGUAAACCUCUUUUAGUAGGGAAGAAGCGAAAGUGACGGUACCUGCAGAAAAAGCACCGGCUAACUACGUGCCAGCCGCCGCGGUAA
rnacentral:rRNA from 1 species